rnacentral:rRNA from 1 species
AACGAACGCUGGCGGCAUGCCUAACACAUGCAAGUCGAACGAGAUCUUCGGGUCUAGUGGCGCACGGGUGCGUAACGCGUGGGAAUCUGCCCUUUGGUUCGGAAUAACAGUUGGAAACGACUGCUAAUACCGGAUGAUGACGAAAGUCCAAAGAUUUAUCGCCAGAGGAUGAGCCCGCGUAGGAUUAGCCAGUUGGUGUGGUAAAGGCGCACCAAGGCGACGAUCCUUAGCUGGUCUGAGAGGAUGAUCAGCCACACUGGGACUGAGACACGGCCCAGACGCAUACGGGAGGCAGAAGUGGGGAAUAUUGGACAAUGGGCGAAAGCCUGAUCCAGCAAUGCCGCGUGAGUGAUGAAGGCCUUAGGGUUGUAAAGCUCUUUUACCCGGGAUGAUAAUGACAGUACCGGGAGAAUAAGCUCCGGCUAACUCCUUGCCAGCCGCCGCGGUAA